UUUGCAUUCGCCCCCCUGGUCCACGCCUCGAGCAUCACUCCAGCGCAACUUAAUCACCGCACGCAAACUCCCCAAUCCUCUUCCUCUCCCCCAACGAUCCUCUCCUCCGAUCCAAUCCCAAAUCACCGUCGGUCCAACCUCCAAUCCAGGGCCUCCCCCUCUCACCCCAAAUCGAUGGCAUCCCGUCCAUAUAAACAGCCGGCGAGGUGGCGUCCAUCGCACUGGAGCCAUGGCAGGCGGAGCAGAGGGCGGAGGAGCGAAAUCCGGCGAUGGCAAGCUAGUCAAGGCCAUCGCGACGGCCGGCAGCGCAGCACGCGACCGCAGCGGAUCUGGUUCUGGGGGCCCCGUCCGUGCGCGUCCAGGCAGGUUCCGACCGUGGUCGCCCUCGCCCUCGUACGUCAGUCGGCGGCGUCGGUUCGGUGUCGGAGCCAAGAUUGUCGACCCGGAUGAGGAUGCAGUGGGUGAUGGUGAAGCCGGUGUUGUGGCUAACCAGGACGGCGCGGCGGCAGGUGCUGGGCAAGAUGGCACGGCAGCAGGAGUGCGUCCUGGUGCUGACCAGGAUACCACGGCUGCAGGUGCUGGGCAUGUCGCCGAAAAGACCAGCAAGUAGUACUAGCUCUCUCUUCUUCGUCAAACUGAAUCUCUAUAUCUCCGGCAUACACACCAUAGUCCUCCGGGUCAACAUGAAGGUUAUCUAGAGCUUCAUCCAUUGCUUGCACUUCCUCUUCCAUGCUCUGGAAAAAACCACCGUGGUCUUCAAGUUCAUCGUCUACAAGGUCCUCUUCUCCAUGGGCAACAUCGGCCUCAUGUUCCUCUUCUUCAUGGGCAAUGUCGGCCUCAUGUUCUACAUGAAGACACCAUCAGGAUUAGCUACAGUAUGCAGAAGAAUUGAACAUGUGCAUAUGGUCAAGAUGUACCAUGGUUCAUGUUCAGAUCGAAGUGAUGUCCAGCCAGUGGUACUUCUUCAUGCAAGGGAGGCUCAUGUUCAUCUUCUCCAGCGAAUUGAUGGCCGGCCUGGAGUACUUCUUCAUGCAAGUGAGGCUCAAAACCAACCCGGGGUUCUUCAAGCAAGGCAGCCUCAUGUUCGUCCUCUACGGUGAAGAAGAAACAUCAGCAUGUGCACAUGUUCAAGGGGAACAAAUGAAAAGAUGAUCAAGAUGUACCUGGGUUCAUGUUCAGAUCGAAGUGAUGACCAAACUGGAGCACUUCCUCAUGCAAGGGAGGCUCAUGUUCAUCUUCUCCCUCUCCUGGUGCUAUAUUCAAGUCAAUGGCCAUGGUCUGUGUGUGUGUUGUUUUACUUGGUGCAACUGUGCUGGCUUUAUAGCUGGGCACAGACGCUUCAUCUACUGAAAUUGUAAACUUGGCGCCUCUAAUUUCUGUAAUCUGGCGCCUCUAAUUUUUAGUACUAGUUGUUGCUGGCGGGAAGUACUGUGGCGGGAGCAAAAUUCUAUUGGUAAAGUUCUGUUUUACUUCUC